rnacentral:lncRNA from 1 species
AUGGGGUGCUCUUCAUCCAGCGCACAGACUGUCGAUCAAGAGAAAAGACCAGGUACAAAGCCAGAGGAGAGCAAUGGAGAUACAGUGGCAGUCAAAAACGGCAUCAUCGCAGAAGAUGCACAAACCAUCGAGGACCAGAUGCAGUUGCCUGUGCAGACUGCCUUACCAGACGAUCUUCAACCGGGUGCCGAUGACGAGGCGGAGGCUGUGUUAAUAGCCUUGGAGGCCCAGGAGGAUCUUGGCUCUGGGGAGGACCUCCUGGCUGCUCCUGAGCCACAGCAAGAACCUGUCACCCCUGCAGAACCAGCUCCAGAGGUUGCUGCUCCAACUGAAGCCAUUACUGAACCUGAGGCUGCUGUAGCUGUGGUGGAGGCACUCCCCCCUGUGGAGGAAGCUGCCCCUGUAGAAACUGUAGUGGCUGAGGCUGCCCCCGAGGUCAAAGCCCUUGUUGAGGCUACAGAGGAAGCCCCUGCUGCUGAAUCUGUUGUGGCUGUGCAGGCAGAGGCCCCUGCUGUUGUUGAGGAGACGACCGCUGUGCCAGUUGAGGCCUCUCCUGAAGUUGCCACCCCUGAUGUUGAACCUGUUGUAUCUGAGCCAGCAGAGGCCCCAGUGGUUGUGGAAGAGGCAGCAGCUGUAGUGGCUGAGGCCCCUGUGGAAGUGGCUGCUCCUGUGGAGGCAGAGGCUCCAACUAACAAUGCUGCACCAGUUACUUCCUCAGUAGCACCAUGUGAAUCCUCAGAACCAGGUGAAGCACCAGCACCAGCACCAAGUGAGGCCCCAAGUGAAGCUGCAGUACCAAAUGAGGCUUCAGCACCAGCACCAAAUGAGGCUUCAGCACCAGAACCAACACCAAGUGAGGCUGCAGAACCAACACCAAGUGAGGCUGCAGCACCGGUACCAAGUGAGGCUGCAGCACCGGUACCAAGUGAGGCUGCAGCACCAGUACCAAGUGAGCCUGCGGCUGCAGCACCAGUACCAAGUGAGGCUGCAGCACCAGUUCCAAGUGAGCCUGUGGCUGCAGUACCAGCACCAAGUGAGGCUGCAGCACCAUCACCAGGUGAAGGUGUAGUACCAGAUGUGGCUUCAGCACCUGCAGAGACAGCAGAGCCUGUAAUAGAUACAGAGAUUGCUGUAGCAACUAUUCCAGAGAUGCCUCCAUUAUCUCCAGCCAAAGCUGUUGAAGAGGCAACGGUGCCUCCAGCGGCCCCUGCUGAGACUGCUGCACCAGUGGAGACACCAUGCCCCCCUACUCCAGCACCAGAGGCUGAAUCUGCUGCUGCUGAGCCGGUCCAGGAGGCAGUGGUUCCAGCAUCUACACCAGCGGUGUCUUUAGAAGCAGCCCCUGAAGCUCCAGCAGCAGCCGUCAUCUCAGAGCCUGCUAUGGACAUUGCAGCCCCAGCAGAGGCUCCUGUGGUUGAGUCCACCCCAGCACCUGCCCCUGAGCCCUCACCUGAAGUAGUGUCGGCAACUGAGGCCUCUCAGGAUACGGAGAGUGAGAAAGCCAUAAAGGAGGACUGAACUG